CAGUCGUACCUGCGGAUAAUCAGCUUUUUGAGUGUGAUUAUGUGGUUUAUGAGGAGUUUAACCGCCUUCAUGUAUUGCAUAUUUGUGCUCUUGGGUGUACUUGCCCGUGUGGUAGGUUAACAUCAAUUUUGGUGGUCAUAAAAUGACUGGAGGAAUGUAGCUUCGAUCUUGUAUUGAAGUGUUAUAGCCUUCGGUAGAUGUGAUGAUCGGGAUUGAGGAUUGCAACGGAUACCCUUCGGGGCUACCUGUCUGGUCUCUGAUCGUUGCUCUGGUGCCGAAAGCUUGCUUACGGUUAUCAAAGUCGAUGGUCAAUAGGUUAGAACGGGUUAAAUUCGUUAAGGAUGUUGACGUAA
rnacentral:rRNA from 1 species